rnacentral:rRNA from 1 species
CCUACGGGUGGCAGCAGUGGGGAAUAUUGGACAAUGGGCGAAAGCCUGAUCCAGCCAUGCCGCGUGUGUGAAGAAGGCCUUCGGGUUGUAAAGCACUUUCAGUGGGGAAGAAAGCCUUGGGGCUAAUACCCUCGAGGAAGGACAUCACCCACAGAAGAAGCACCGGCUAACUCCGUGCCAGCAGCCGCGGUAAUACGGAGGGUGCGAGCGUUAAUCGGAAUUACUGGGCGUAAAGCGCGCGUAGGCGGUCUGAUAAGCCGGUUGUGAAAGCCCCGGGCUCAACCUGGGAACGGCAUCCGGAACUGUCAGGCUAGAGUGCAGGAGAGGAAGGUAGAAUUCCCGGUGUAGCGGUGAAAUGCGUAGAGAUCGGGAGGAAUACCAGUGGCGAUGGCGGCCUUCUGGACUGACACUGACGCUGAGGUGCGAAAGCGUGGGUAGCAAACAGGAUUAGAUACCCCAGUAGUC